ACAUGAACCAGCACGGUAGUUGGCAGACCAGUCUUUAUCCUACAUUGUCAGUAAUAUAGAUGAUUCAACCAACAACUUUGCAACUUUAUGAAGGUGCUGGAGUAAUGCAUUCAAUAGAAAUUUACCUAGAAUUUUGAUCUUCUUUCAGGUUGGUCUAAAUGCAAUCGAAAGGGAGUAAGAGAUGGAAGAGAAGAAAUAGAGGGAAGAGCAGGACUUGUGAAGUAGUGGAGCGAUGUAGCCACAGCUGAAGGAAGUGUGGAGCUACCGGAAAAGGCACCAGAGAUUCGCCAUCAGUGCCUCUGGAGGGAGUGAGGCUCUGUGAUGUCUGGAUUUCAGCCUUUUG
ensembl:lncRNA